rnacentral:lncRNA from 1 species
AGGAGAGCUUUGCAUCCUCCCGGGAGGUUUUUGCUGUAUUUUCUUAAAGUAAUCAAGAGUUUGUUGCUAGCGAAAAAAAAAUAAUUGUACGCACUGCCGUAGUGGUGGCCUGCUGGCUGCUGCUUAUGCCUGAUGCUUCACUUCGUGAUAACUCUUCCCUCUGCCCGUUUUGGUUUCAGCAGCUUCAGCCUCCGUUCUGCCAGGUCACUGGUGGCGGUGUCAGCGCUAGGAAUUCCCUUCCUGAUCCCGCCUGAGCUGCUGUGAGAGACUCUGCCGAGGGAAGUCGGGGACAGUACCUCAUUGUCUGUGAAGACAGUCUACAUUCUGCCACUACUUUGAUGAGCUGGUUACUGGGCCACUGCUGCUAAAGAUGUACUUCAGCUCCAGCUCCUACUGACAAUCAUACUGUGUCUCCAAUGAAAGACUGUGGUGAGAUUUGGUAACUGUACUGGAUGGGUAAACAGUGGCAUUUACUGAAAAAUGUGCAUUUGUUAGAAGGUUUCAACCCAUGCAGGUACAUUGAAAGUUGAAGGUAUUUCACUGGCAUGCUGGGGUUUUUUUUUCUUUCUCCAGUAACAGCAUUUAAUAUAUUGAAAUUAGCUUUGUUGAAGCAUGUUUAUUUAUUGAUGAUUUGGGGAUAUUUUUGCCUAGCAAAUAUCCAAAUCUUUUUUUGUGUGUGCAUACAUUGUGAAGCCAUACUUGCUGUAUUUUCAUAUUCAGGAGAUUGUGUUCUAUUAGUUUAAUUAAUUAGUACUUUUUGGUAGCAAACCAAUUUGAAUUGCUAGACAGAACCAACCAUGUUAAAAAAGCUCAUAAAUUACCUGUUGUGAUCCAUCAUCAUUUAUCUUUUUACUUAGAUCAAAGGAAGGGGGUUGCAGAUUGUCCCAGUCAGUGUGUUAGUGUGCAGAAGGAAGGAUUUAUUGUUAGAUGUCUCCAUCUGGGCACACAGCUUGGACUGGGAAGGAUGUCCUAGGGGAGCACUGGGCACUGAGCUCCUAAACCAGUAAUCAGCCCACAGUUUGAACAGUGACCCUCUCUGUGCAGAGGAUGGGGAUCCUCAAUAACCCCACAUGGAGGAGCCUGGCAAGCAGCCUGCUGAGCCAGUCUGUCCUCUGCCUCAGAAAAAGUGCCUUUCUUCACUGGGGACUCCUUGAACAAAACUCAUGGAAGUAAGUGCUGUGCUCAUUUUUAUUCUAAGUAUAGCAAGGGAUCAUGAUUGUAUAAUGCCACCAGAGGAAGAAGGUUCAUUCUCCAUAGCAAUAAGCUCAGGGUUCAGAACAGUCAUCUGUGAUGUGAUAGACAGGAUUUCAGUCCCCUCUCCUGUCUGAUGGGAAUUCAAAACUGCAUCUUCCAUCUUUAAGGAAAAUCUCUGCAUAGCCCAUUGGGUGUACCAGUCCCUGCUAUAAAAACCUUUUGUACCACUUGUAUAAAGACUGUUCAUUAUAAUAUCAAGAUGUACCUAAAUAAGCCUCAGAGGAGGGUUAGUGCUCUGUUCAGCAUAAUGCUUGCUUCUUUUCUCUGUGCUGGUUUUUCCAAAGGAGAAGUGGUAAAAUUGUCUGUCUUCUGAAAUGGCUUCUAUGUUAGUGAUGAGCAAAGAGUGGGGAAUGAAAGUUUGAACCUGUUUAUGUCAUUGAAUAAAAUUUAUUCAUCUGUAUCCUAGAUGAAUGCUUUGGUUACUAAGACUGCAAGGAAUUUGUGUUGCUUCUGCACUGGGUCUCAUGAAGUUGGUGUUUUUGUUGUAUUCUUUUUAGCUCAAAUCCAUCAGAGACGGUGAGAACCUGAAGAACAUAGGAAAUGUCCUGCUGGGCUUGAUAGGAGUCCUGUGGCCCAGGGCUUGGUCUGAGAUCUUGAUCUCUCAUAUUUCCACCUCCCCAGGCUCCUGGCUGUCCAGAGUGGCCUGUGUUAGGAGUGUUAGAGAGUACCCCUGCUCUCAGGGUCCUUUUUUGGAUCUCAUUUCUUUGGAACACACAAUACUGUCUGCCCUCACCACUCCCUAUGGCAGCACCUUGCAGAAAUCCUCUACCAAGCAUUUGACAAUUUUCUUGAAUUCAGACUGGGCCACAUGCUGCUUCAAUGAAACUCUGUCUGGCUUUGAUGAGCCACUGCCUGUGAGCCUGUGUGGGCAGAGAGGCAUGGGGGUCCUGGGGACACUGAUUUCAGCAGGUAAAGCACAGACAGACUCACUGUGAUGUGAUAGCAGCUGUGAGCUGGUGGCUGGGUUGCAAUGUAUCUCCUUGAAGUCUGAUUUCCAAAUCAGUCCUGGAUUUGGAAAGUCUGUGACUUUCUCCCUGCACCCUUUCCUCUCUCAAAGAGUGAUGCCAUGUUUCCAACUCUUCUUUCAGCAAAGGGACAAUUACAGACUCUAAACACAGCUGAUGAAUAAAUGUGUGGAUUUUUCUAGCAUAGACCAUCUUGUGAGGGAGAGAGGAGACGUAGCUGUAAUCAACACAUUGUGAAUUAGACCUUGCUCCCCAGUCUCAUGUGUCUGUCUCAUACUGCUCCAUGUGCUUAUGGGCAGCAGGAAACAGGAGGGAGAAUGUAAAUGAAAUAUUUGAUGAACUAUUCAUUUAUUUCAGACUGUAGCGGAAUCAGCAUGCAAAUGCCAUUCUGUGUUUUAUUUUUUUGCACUGACAGUGUAGCUACACAAAAAUAUUAUGAUCUUCUGCUGCCAACUGCUACUGAAUGAAUUAUUCUGAAGCAUUCUGAUGCCUGUCUUUGUCACAGUCUCCUAUUUCAGUCCCUGUCAUGCACUGUGCCUAUCAUUCAUUAUAGUUGAUGGGUUGAGGGCAGAAAGGUGUCUCUUGCCUUGUUCUCUGGAGAAUUUUGUCUUGUCUGUCUCACCUUCAAUCACUGCUAAUAGUUCUGCUAGAACAAAUUCAAGAAGGGGCUGUGAGGAGAUGAUGAAAAUAUUUCACAGAGCAGUUUUAUUUUAAUAGCUAGUUUUAAAAAUGAAUUUGCUGGAGCAGACCAAAAUGAAGAUUGCUUAGAGAUAUAUUUUUUUUACAAGCCUUUUAAUUAAUUUUUUAUUGUUAUUAAUCUUUAAGCCCUUUGCAUUCCUGUUACAUUUUUCCUGUGAAUUGCCAUGUAGGAUUGGGUUUACUGUGAUUGACCAACGACCAUUUAUUUUACAAAUUCAUUAGGAUGAGUUACUGUUCAGCAAAGACUGUGUUGGAGGAGAGAACAAAAUAGCACCACAGCUUUAGGAUGUGUUUUUGCAGGAGGCUUUCACAAAUUUUCAACUGCUGCUUCUACCUUGCUUUUUAAGCAAGGCUGUGGCUUUGUGGUUGUUUGUGGCAGGUCUCCUGUUACUGUUCUCAUGCCCUGCAAAAGUCGUAGUGGAGGAGUGAGACAGAGCUCACCAUUUUGGCAGGUGCUCAGUGGCACACAAGUGAGGGUGGAAUCGGUGGACUGUUCUGAAGGUUUUUAGGUUGUAUUUAUUAUUGUUUGCUUGCAGGACUUCCUGACCUCUCCGUUCCACUAGAAAGUCUAUCUGAAAAGAUUGAACCAAAAAUCUAGUCCAAGAAUUUAAGAAAUACCAUAAUGUGUAAAUGUUCAUAAUUAAUUCUGUGAGUAUUUUUUCAAACAACUGUAAUUAAUUGUAUGAGGUAAGAGAUAUAUUUGGGUAGCCUUACGAAAGAUUUGUGUUUCAGUCAGCUGUACAAAUAAGUAUCAAGUGAUGAAGUAUCAAUAAAAGGAGAGACCUUUUGACAUCAGUAGUUUGAAUUACUAUUAGCUUUUAUGUUGGUCUUAUUUCUAUAAGCAUACUGGAUACAAGUUUUUAGGUAGCAAGAAGGGGUUAUAACUCAUUUCAGGAAGGAAGGCAGACGUCUCUGUUGAUAUUAGUAUAACGUGUGAUUUAAUUAGAUUUUGUGUUUACAUCUCAUAUUUUUUUUUUACAAAUAGUAAAUUGUGACAGUGCAAGAACUGGAUCAGAAGGAUGGUAUUAAAACCCUGGAGUGAGACUGUGAGAAACAGGCUCCAUACCUGGCUGCACUUUAGGCUGUCUUUGGCAAGUGUCAACCUGAGAUGCCUGUGGCUCAGUGCGAUUGUCUUCUCAGUAUCAGCACAAUGACAAUGAAAUGUGAACUUGUGCACACUUUCCAGAGUGGGGUGGAAGAUGGGAAAGGUCGAAGUCCUACAAUUGGAAUGCUGGACCUCCAAGUUAUGACUCUUCCUUUGGGCCAGUCUUGGUGUAGCAAAGGUUCCUAUGAACUGCGCUGAGGGAUACUGCUGAGUGCUCCAACUGUCCAUCUGUCCUCCUUUACUCUCUGCUGCCAGUAAAGCAAUACAAAAGAAAUAUUGUGUGCUUUCAGAGAGCAAAUUUCAAAGAAAGAAUCAUCCAUCUUGUCCUGAAUCUGCCAGAAUGCUGUAGACAGCUAUGCUGCCUGAUGUUUACAGGGCAAGAUUGAACCAUUGAUUUUUUACAUGAAACUCGGCAUUACCCUGGACAAAUUGUUGUGAGGAUAACCUCACAGAGGCUGGCUCGUGCCAUGAACAAAUGUGGAGUGUGGAAGACUGAAAAAUGAUUUUUUCAAGGGCUGAUCAGUUUUGGGUAAUCACUUUUGGGCUGCCAACGGUCAGCAUGGUUAGCUGUGUGUCUGGGAGUGGAUGGUGGCAAUCACUUGUUGCUUUCAGAACUGAUCUGUUUGAUCUAAUUAACUGCUUUUCAAGCUUUCUGUUUACUGAAAACAGCAGUAAAAAUGACAAAGAAAGAUUAGCUGCCUUUGAAUUUGAAUAUUUUUCCUGCUUUAAACUUCUGAAAGUCUCAGGAUCUCUGUCUGGGGCCAUUGAUAUCAAAAUUGUCCUGCAUAAACAAUCAGCUUUGAAAUUUAGUACACACUUUAUAAAUACACAUUUGGAAAAUUACAAUAA